rnacentral:lncRNA from 1 species
AACUUUAUGUAUUUUUUGAUUUCCUCUUUGAUAUUUUCAGUGAUCCAUUGGUUGUUUAGUAUCAUAUCGUUAGCUUCCAUGUGUUUGUGUUUUUACAUUUUUUUUCUUGUAGUUGAUUUCUCAUCUUAUAGCAUUGUGGUCAGAAUAGAUGCUUGAAAUAAUUUCAGUUUUGUUAAAUUUAUUGAGGCUUAUUUUGUGGCCCAGCAUGUGAUCUAUCCUGAGCUAUAUUCCAUGGACACUUGAAAGGAAUGUGUAUUCUGAUGCUUUUGGAUGGAAUGUUAUAUAACUAUCAAUUAAGUACCUCUGGUCUAAUGUGUCAUUUAAGGCCUCUGUUAUUGAUUUUCUCUCUGGAUAUUCUCUGUCCAUUGAUGUAAGUAAGAUUAAAGUCCUCCACUAUUAUUGUGUUACUGUCAAUUUCUCCUUACAUGGCUCUUAGCAUUUGCCUUACAUAUUGAGGUGCUCUUCUAUCGAGUGCAUAUAUAUUUAUAAUUGUUACAUGUCUUUCUUGCAUUGAUCCUUUGAUCAUUAUGCAGUGUCCUUCUUUGUCUCUCAUAAUAGUUCAUAUUUUAAAGUCUAUUUCAUCUGAUAUGAGUAUUACUACUCCAGCUUUCUUUUGAUUCCAUGUGCCUAGAAUAACUUUCUCCAUCCCCUCGAUUUCAAUCUGUAUGUGUCUCUAGAUCUGAAGUGGGUCUCUUAUAGACGAGAUAUAUAUGUAUAUAUGCAUAUUUUAUAUGUGUGUUGGUGUGUGUGUGUGUAUAAUUAUAUUCCUGGUCACUUAAUUUCAAACACAUUUCCAAUAUCCUGAAUUUUUUACUCUUCUUUUCCCAUGAUUGCUUGUUUUCAAAUCAUAUUUGUGUGUGGUUGAUUUCCUACCUUUAUAUAGGCUCGCCUUUACCAGUGUGCUUUCCCAUUCAUAAUUUUCUUUUUUCUAGUUGUGGCCUUUUCUUUUGUGCCUAGUGAAAUUUCCUUUCCAAUUAUCAUAAAGCUGGUUUGGUGGUGCUUAAUUCUCUUAGCUUUUGAUUGUCUGAAAAUCUUUUGAUUUUCCUUUGCAUCUGAAUGAGAGCUUUGCUGGGUAUCAUAUUCUUGGUUGUACAUUUUUUUCCUUUUAGCACUUUAUAAUGCCACUCCCUUCUGGCCUUCAUACAUUCUGAUGAAAAAUCAACUGAUAGCCUUGUGGGAGUCCCUUGUAUAUUAUUUGUUUCCUUUCCCUUGUUUCUUUUAAUAUUUUCUCUUUAUCUUUAUUUGUGUCAAUUUGAUUAAUAUUUGUCUUGGCAUGUCCCUCCUUGUGUUUAUCCUCUGUGGGAUUCUCUGCACUUCCUGGACUUUAGUGACUGUUUUCUUACCCACGUUAGGGAAUUAUUCAGCUAUUAUUUUUUGAAAUAUUUUCUCAGAUGUUUUAUUUCUCUCUCUUCCUUCUGUGAGCCCUAUAAUGUGAACAUUGGUUCUUUCAAUGUUGUUACCCAGGUCUCUUAAACUAUCCUCAUUUCUAUUCUGUUUUUAUUCUGUUCCAUGGCAUUGAUUUCUAGUAUUCCUGUCCAGCUUACUUAUUCAUUCUUUUUCAUUUUUUCUGCUACUGAUUCUUUCUAGUAUUUUUAAUUUCACAUAUUGUGUUAUUCAACUCUUGUUUGUUUACUCUUUUUAUCACCUAACUCUUUGUUAUGCAUUUCUUGUAUCUUCAAGGUCUGUGACUCUAUUCUUUUUCCAAGUCCUUUAAUGGUUUAAUUAUUAUUAUUCUUAAUUAUUUUCAGGUAGAUUGCCUAUCCCUCUUUCACUUUGUUGUUCUUCUGGGGUUUUUAUCUUGUUCCUUUGUCUAGAAUAAAUUCCUCUGCUGUCUCAUUUUGUCUAACUUUCUGUGCUUUCUGUCUCUGUUCCACACGCUGCAGCAUAGUUGUUCCUCCAGUUUCUGGUGUCUACACCCUUCUGGGUGAGGCUGUUUUAGAUGCUUCUGCAGGCUUCCUGGUGAGAGGGACUGAUGCCUUCCCAGUAGUGGGUGGAGCUAAGUCUUGUCCCUCUAGUGGGGAGGGCUGUGUCAAGGUGUGUAUUUAGUAGUGACUGUGGGCUCAGGGAGACUUUGGUUAGCCUGUCUGAUGCUGGGCAGGACUGUGUUUCUGUCCUGUUUAUUAUUUGGCCUGAAGUGUCCCAGCACUGGAGCCUACCAGCUCUUGAGUUGCACCAGGUCUUGGUGUCAAAAUAGCCUCCAAGAGAGUUCAUGGCAAUAAGUACUUGCUUGUUCCUUUUUCACCAAUUUCCUUAUCCCCACAUUGAGCCACAGCCUCACCCUACUUCUCCAGGAGGCCUUCCAAGACCAGAAGGUAGGUCUGGCCCAGGGUCAUGGUGCACACAAGACCUUGUGUCUGCUCUUGAAUAGUAGAUUUUCUCUUUCCUCCAGUCCUGUGGAGUUUUUACAUUCAAGACUCUCUAACAUUCAAACUUAAGUGCUCUGAGGACUCCUCCUACCUAUGCCUGACCCUCAGGAUUUCAAGCUUGAUAUGGAGCUCAAAUUAACACUCCUUUGGGAGAACCUCUGUAAUAUAAUUAUUGUCCAUUUUGUAGGUCAUUCAUCCAGUGGGCAUGGGAUUUGAUUAUAUUGUGAGCAUAUCCCUCCUACCAUUUCACUGUGUCCUCUUCUUUGUUUUUGAAUGAAGAACAUCUUUUGUGGUAGGGUCCUCUUUUUUUUUUUUUUUUUUUUUUGAUUGUUCUUCACCAUGUGGUUGUGAUUUUGGUGUUUUUGUGAAAGGAAGUCAUUUCAAGUCCUUCUACUCUGCCAUAUUGUUUCCCUCCAAUACUUUUAAUUUCAAAAGCAAUAGAUCAGUGGUUUCACUGGGGCCCAGUGAGGAGCUCAGCCUCUACCACUUCAUAAGCAUUAAUGAGGUAGAAUGAGGUAAUGCGAGUCAGGCUAGUUGAUAUUAUGCUUCCCCUCACUUUCUUUUCCGUUGGUGUCAGUGGGACCCAGACCCACAGCAACCUAAGCUUCUAGCUCUACCCAGAAUCUGUGAAUGAGGUCAUGUAAGGUGGUUCGAGUUUUCAUUGCACUUUCUUCCCCUCUCACAUGAUCAGAGAGAUUCAGUAGAAAGCUAAACUUUCACUCCCUCCUUGUAGAACAAAGUGGUGUGAAUCACCAGCAGUCCUCUCCUACUUACACCCCCACUCAGAAGCAAAAAGGUGGUGCAUGGCAGCAGAGCAUCUUUACUUUUCAGGACGGCAUCAACAGGACCUAGUGGAUUUUAGUACUUCAACCUCACCUGUCUUAAGCAAGGCAGUGGGGAGUAAACAUUCUGCUUUUGCUGGAGUGGUAUCAGUGGCACCCAGCAAGAAUAUAAACAUACACACCCACUGAGCGCUUAUACUAUACAUGAAACAGGGGGAUUAUCUGCUAAAAAGAAGAUUAAAUAGAAUCUAGAGUCUCACAAUAUAAUAUUGAAGUUAUCCAGGAUACCAUAACAAAUCAUUCAUCAAAGAGCCAGGAAAUUCCCAAAUGGAUUGAGAAAGGUCAAUCAACAGAUAGCAAUGCUGAGAUGAAUCAUGUUGGAAAUAUCUGAUAAUGGUUUUAAAGGAGCCCUCAUAGAAAAUCUUCAUUAGGAAAUUAUACAUUAUCUUGAAACAAAAGAAAAAUAGAAAAUCUCUGCAAAAAAAAUAGAAAUUAUAAAAAAGACCAAAUAUAAAUUAUAGAUCUGAAAAAUAUAAGAAAAACUACUUGGUGGAAUCAAGAGUAGAAAUGACAGAGGAAGAAAUCAGUGAGCCUGAGGAAGGAUCAUUAGAAUUUAUGCAGCCUGAUCAACACAGGGAAAAUUAGACAAAAAAUAAAUGAAUAGAGUCUCAGAGGCAUGUAGGAAAAUAACAAAACACUUAACAUAUGUCUUUGGAAUCCUAGAACUAGAAUAGGAGAUUAGGGCUCAAAACUCAGUCUAAAGUAAUAAUGUAGUAAAGACAUAGAAACAACAUAAGUGGCCAUUGAUAGAUGAAUUGAUGCAGAAAAUGCUAUAUAUGUAUUUUUAAAAUCAUGCAACAGAAUAUUAUUCAGUCAUAAAAAGAGGUAAAUCCUGUCAUUUGUGGCAACAUGGAUGAACAUUGGAGGCAUUAUACUAAGCAAAUAAGUCAGAGAAAGACAAAUACUAUUUGAUCUCACUUAUAUGCAGAAGCCAAAAAAGUAAAAUUCAAAGAGACAGUAGAUUUGUGAUUACCAGAGAAUGGAGGAAAUAGGGAGAUGUUGCUCAAAGGAUAUUAUCUUUGAGUUAUCAGAUGAAUAAUUUCUGGAGAUCUAAUAUACAGCUUGGUGACUACGGCUAACAGUAUUGUAUUGUACACUUGAAAUUUGCUAUGAGAUUAGAUCUUAAAUGUACUCACCACAUCCAUCUUUAUUGUGGUAAUCACUUCACAAUAUACAUGUAUAUAAAAUCAUCACAAUGUACACAUUAAAUUUACAUGAUAUUACUUGUUAUUUAUACCUAAAUAAAUCUGGGAAAAAAGAAGAAAUAAUGACUGAAAUCUUCUUAAAUUUAUCAAAAGAUAUAAACCUACAGAUUCAAUAAGCUAAAUAAACUUCAAAUAAGAUGAACAGAAAAUUACAAAACAACAUCAAAAUUAAACUUCUGAAAACACUUUACAAAGAAAAAAUCAACAUAGAGAAAAAUGACACUUUACCCAUAAGAGCAAAGCAAUUUCUAAUGACAUACAGUAUCUCAUUGGAAAAUGUAGGCACCAGAACAAAGUGGCACAACACAUUUCAGUUGCAUAAAGCAAAGAACUGCCAACUGCAAAUCCCAUAUCUGGCAAAAACGUCAUUCUGGAAUGAAGGGGAAUUUUCACAUGAAGGAAAAAUAAGAAUUUCUUACUAGCAACCCUACCAUUAAAAUGGCUAAAGGAAAUUCUCAAAACAAAAAGUAAAUGAUAAUAAAAGAAUGCUUUGAAACUCAAAAAAAAGAAAGAUAACAGAAUGGGUAAACACAGAGCUAGAAUAGAAUAUCAUCAUGAGUUUCUUAAUUCACAUUUGAAGAUUGAAGCAAAAGAUAUGACACCAUUUAGUGUGAUGCUCAAAUACAUGGGAAAUAUUCAAGACAAAUAUAUUUGAAAAGUGGUGGGUCUAACAGGAUGUAAGUGGAAGCUAGGUUUUUAUCUUUACUUCAAGUGGUAAAAUGUUGAUAAGAGUGAUUUGUCAAAAAAAAAAAAAAAAAAAAAAAAAAA